CCUACGGGAGGCAGCAGUGGGGAAUCUUAGACAAUGGGGGCAACCCUGAUCUAGCCAUGCCGCGUGAGUGAUGAAGGCCUUAGGGUCGUAAAGCUCUUUCGCCUGUGAUGAUAAUGACAGUAGCAGGUAAAGAAACCCCGGCUAACUCCGUGCCAGCAGCCGCGGUAAUACGGAGGGGGUUAGCGUUGUUCGGAAUUACUGGGCGUAAAGCGCGCGUAGGCGGAUUAGAAAGUUGGGGGUGAAAUUCCGGGGCUCAACCCCGGAACUGCCUCCAAAACUGCUAGUCUAGAGUUCGAGAGAGGUGAGUGGAAUUCCGAGUGUAGAGGUGAAAUUCGUAGAUAUUCGGAGGAACACCAGUGGCGAAGGCGGCUCACUGGCUCGAUACUGACGCUGAGGUGCGAAAGUGUGGGAGCAAACAGGAUUAGAUACCCUGGUAGUCCACACCGUAAACGAUGAAUGCCAGUCGUCGGAUAGUAUACUAUUCGGUGACACACCUAACGGAUUAAGCAUUCCGCCUGGGGAGUACGGUCGCAAGAUUAAAACUCAAAUGAAUUGACGG
rnacentral:rRNA from 1 species